ACAUCAAACACAAGCUUGAUUUUAAUCCCGCUGCUAUGUCUAGUUAAUUUCUUCUACACCACUCACGAAACCAAUCUUGUUAUGGCGGCUAAAAGAUCAAAUUGCACCCUAUGAGCUAUUGGUGCGUCCCCCCCUUUCUUGCUCCCUCCCUCAAGGAAUCUUUUUUUUUUUUCCUCUUUUGGCACCCAAUAUAUGAAUUCACAGCUUUUUUUUUUGCUGGUUGCAAAUGGCGCCAUCUACCAGCUUCACUCUCUGCUCUUUUCAAGCAUGUAGUUCGAAGUUUAUGCUCCCAUAGCGAUGAAAGAGCCUAUCUUAAACAAAAGAUGAGGCACAAAAAAGGAGGAAUAUGUUUCCAAGCUCAGAGGUAAAUUGUGGCAAGGAUUAUCGUGCAGUACUUUCAAACAUAUUGUGCUAAUGAAGCAGAGGUUUCUUCCUUUCUCGGAACUUAAUCAAUACAUCUUCUUGAAAAAGUCCUGCAACUGACAAAUUUGUAAGCUUUCUAAGUUUCUGUAUAAACUUUAUCACAUGGUACUUUUAUUCAUCAAUAUUACUUUAAAUUUUAGAUUAAAAGAGGAGCUUGAAGGUGAUAGAUAAUCUACUUUAAUUAUAAAUAAAAUAUUGAUAAUCAUAAUAGUGGUUGUAGUGCAUCGUUGGUUGCUUAAUCAUAUCCACUGGUUGAGAAAUAGAUCCAAAGUUUUGUCACUGUCCGUAAAGCUAACCUUCGACUGUGAUGUUCACAUUCCAUUUCUAAAUUUCUUUCAUGGGCUCAAUGCAUAAAUUUAUUCUUACCUUGUAAUUAGUGAUAAUUGACCAUUAGUUUUAUAACAUGUAUGUCAUGGAUUAUGUAGUCUCUCCCUGUUUUCUUUCUAUUGCCCUUUUUGAGUUUUAAAAAAAUUAAAAAAAUUUAAAAUGGGUCGGAAAGUUGACACUAACAUGGUCAGAAAAGGUAGGAAGGUUCUUUGUACGUGCUUACUUCAGCUGUGAAUUGAUUCUCAUCUUUCUUAGUAUAGGCUUGAUUAUAAUAUGGAUUAUGGGAAAAAAAAAAAUUUAAAGGCUUCAAUUAAUGCCAAGGAGACAUGACGUAUUCUUGGUUAGUGAUUCUCCAUUACUUAAAACAAAAUCAAACAAACGUUGAUGGAUUCUGAUGCAAAUUUCAUUCUCUUUCUCUGUCGCAAAGGCAAUAGAGUUAAAUAAAAUAGAAGAAACCAGUUAGACUCUGCUGCAAAUAUUAUGCUCAUGCUUUUUGUCUUUCAGUUGGUAUAUAUAAUUAUUGUUAGCUCAAUAAUAAGGAAGCUUUUGCACUAGGAGAGGGCUGAAAAGAAUGCUCGUUUAGAGCUACCUAAGGUUACUAGGCUUCUUUAUUUUAGUUUUAUGCGCAACUGCUUUAGGAAUUAGGACCACAUAGCUAGACAAUAGAUAUUAAGGGAAAGGUUGCCUUUGGUUUUCAAGUACCUGUCCACUUGCCUUUUAUUUUUUCUUUUUUAUUUUUCACUAAUAAUUCCUGAGAUAAGGGUGUAAUGUGUUGAUCCACUUGGCUAAAUGGAGUAAAUAUCUUAUAUUGUAUCCACACUUUGCUUUAUUUUUUUGAGAAUUUUGCAUAAUAAAGAAAACCAUAAUAUAAAAAAAGCUUACAACUAACCUCAUUUUGUUUAAAUGCGCAUCUAUUCCCUUUUACGUUGUAUGGAUUCCAUAUUCAUCAAUCAGAAGGAGAUGAUAAGAGCAAAAAGUAGCUUUGAUGAGUAGAAUUAAAACUGUAACAACCUCAGAUUAUUCUUAUAAACUUUUGUUCU